AACCCAGAAUAUACCCUCUUACCACAAAUUGAAGGGAAUAAUAAAAAUGAAAUUUUUAUUUUUCUUAGGUAAAAAUUAAAAUAAAUUAAAAUGAAGGGAUAUGGAUGGAAAAAGUCAGUCACGAAAGGGGCAAUUUGGGAAUUUGAAAAUGUUUUUGUUGGACUAAAACGACCCUGACUUUGCGAACAACGUUAGGUCCAACGACGAGGUCUGUGUUGUCUGUAGGAUUUUUCAACGCCAAACAAAUAUGUUAUCCACGUACUCCAAAUAAAAAAUGUCUUAUCCAUUGACACGUGGCAAUAUAACUACCUGACACGUGUUUAUAAUGACGACUAUGACCCAAAAUAUGAAACAAGAGA
rnacentral:lncRNA from 1 species